GAAGGCAGCUUUCUGGAUCAUUACUGACACUGAGGAACGAAAGCAUGGGUAGCGAAGAGGAUUAGAUACCCUCGUAGUCCAUGCCGUAAACGAUGUGUGUUAGACGUUGGAAAUUUAUUUUCAGUGUCGCAGGGAAACCGAUAAACACACCGCCUGGGGAGUACGACCGCAAGGUUAAAACUCAAAUGAAUUGACGGGGACCCGCACAAGUAGUGGAGCAUGUGGUUUAAUUCGAAGAUACGCGCAGAACCUUACCAACACUUGACAUGUUCGUCGCGACUCUAAGAGAUUAGAGUUUUCGGUUCGGCCGGACGAAACACAGGUGCUGCAUGGCUGUCGUCAGCUCGUGUCGUGAGAUGUUGGGUUAAGUCCCGCAACGAGCGCAACCCUCACUUUUAGUUGCCAUCAUUAAGUUGGGCACUCUGAAAGAACUGCCAGUGAUAAGCUGGAGGAAGGUGGGGAUGACGUCAAGUCCUCAUGGCCCUUACGUGUUGGGCUACACACGUGCUACAAUGGCAUCUACAACAGGAAGCAAAACGGCAACGUUAAGCAAAUCCCGAAAAGAUGCCUCAGUUCGGAUUGCACUCUGCAACUCGAGUGCAUGAAGCUGGAAUUACUAGUAAUCGUGGAUCAGCGUGCCACGGUGAAUGCGUUCCCGGGUCUUGUACACACCGCCCGUCACACCAUGGGAGUUGGUUCUACCUUAAGGCAAGGUUUCAAACCCUUGACCACGGUAUAGUCAGCGACUGGGGUGAAGUCGUAACAAGGUAGCCGUA
rnacentral:rRNA from 1 species